UGUGCUUCCUUCUUGAGUUUAGAUAUAUU
rnacentral:piRNA from 1 species